CCAGGUGUGUGAGUUUCUACCUGUGGACAGGGUGUGUGUGUGUGUUUCUACCUGUGGACCAGGCGUGUGCGUUUCUACCUGUGGACCAGGCGUGUGCGUUUCUACCUGUGGACCAGGUGUGUGCGUUUCUACCUGUGGACCAGG